rnacentral:rRNA from 1 species
GUCUCUUUGUUUAUUGUGUAUAAAGAGUCGGGCCUGCUCGGUGAUUAAUUUUUAACAGCUGCGGUAUUUUAACUGUACUAAGGUAGCAUAAUAAUUUGCCUUAUAAUUUGAGGCUGGAAUGAAUGGUUUGACGAAGGUUGACCUGUCUCUACUUUAUUUUUUAGAAUUUAAUUUCUAAAGUGAAAAAGCUUGGAUUUUUUAAAGGGACGAGAAGACCCUAUUGAGCUUAUAAUUUUAUUUUUAUUUUUAGUAUUAGUAAAUAAGGUAUAAAUUUUAAUUGGGGUGAUUGAGGAAUAAAAGUGUAGUAACUUCCUUAUUUUUAAUGUUGUUAGGUAAAGUAACCAAUGUAGUAUUGCUUAUAAUAUAGUUACCAUAGGGAUAACAGCGUAAUUUAUUUAGAGAGUUCCUAUUGAAAAAUGAGAUUGCGACCUCGAUGUUGGAUUAAAGUAACCUUAAGGUGCAGAAGCUUUAGAAGGUAAAUCUGUUCGAUUUUUAAAACUUUACA